rnacentral:rRNA from 1 species
CCUACGGGCGGCAGCAGUGGGGAAUAUUGCACAAUGGGGGAAACCCUGAUGCAGCGACGCCGCGUGAGUGAAGAAGUUUUUCGGUACGUAAACUCCUAUAAUUAGAGAAGAUAAUGACGGUAUCUGACUAAGAAGCCCCGGCUAACUACGUGCCAGACGCCGCGGUAAUACGGAGGGGGCAAGCGUUACCCGGAAUAACUGGGCGUAAAGGGCGCGUAGGCGGCAGAGCAAGUCUGAAGUGAAAUCCUGGGGCUUAACCCGAGAACUGCUUUGGAAACUGUGCGGCUGGAGUGCGGGAGGGGUAAGCGGAAUUCCUGGUGUAGCGGUAAAAUGCGGAGAUAUUAGGAGGAACACCGGUGGCGAAGGCGACUUACUGGACUGUAACUGACGUUGAGGCGCGAAAGCGUGGGGAGCAAACAGGAUUAGAUACCCUGGUAGUC